GGAUGUGAGGGUGAUCUGGCUGCGACAUCUGUCACCCUAUUGAUGGCUAGGGUUGAUUUGUUUGAUCUGGCUGGCUAGGAGAAUGUCCCCUUCUUCCCUCACCACUCCAAUGUGUGUCCCUCCUGAAGCUGUGUGCUCAAUCUGUCGGAAGAGGAUGGCCUUCUUCGAAUACAGACAGAGCAUUCUUUGGUAGAGGGUAUAUAAGUACCUGCGCUCCCCUGUUAGAACCUCCAAACAAGCUCUCAAGGUCCAUUGGGAGGAUAAUGUAGGAUAGUCAAGCUUCCAAGACUCCAGACCCAUCCAAAUGAGGCACUGCAUGUGGCAGUCUGUCUUUCUUG
rnacentral:snRNA from 1 species